CCAAAGGCUCUUUUCAGAGCCACCCACCUUCUCAAAAGAGAGUUGU
rfam:Neotoma lepida isolate 417 scaffold_11555, whole genome shotgun sequence.